GAUGAACGCUGGCGGCGUGCCUAAUACAUGCAAGUCGAGCGAACAGACGAGGAGCUUGCUCCUCUGACGUUAGCGGCGGACGGGUGAGUAACACGUGGAUAACCUACCUAUAAGACUGGGAUAACUUCGGGAAACCGGAGCUAAUACCGGAUAAUAUAUUGAACCGCAUGGUUCAAUAGUGAAAGACGGUUUUGCUGUCACUUAUAGAUGGAUCCGCGCCGCAUUAGCUAGUUGGUACGGUAACGGCUUACCAAGGCAACGAUGCGUAGCCGACCUGAGAGGGUGAUCGGCCACACGGGAACUGAGACACGGUCCAGACUCCUACGGGAGGCAGCAGUAGGGAAUCUUCCGCAAUGGGCGAAAGCCUGACGGAGCAACGCCGCGUGAGUGCUGAAGGUCUUCGGAUCGUAAAACUCUGUUAUUAGGGAAGAACAAAUGUGUAAGUAACUAUGCACGUCUUGACGGUACCUAAUCAGAAAGCCACGGCUAACUACGUG
rnacentral:rRNA from 1 species